UAGGGAAUCUUCGGCAAUGGACGAAAGUCUGACCGAGCAACGCCGCGUGAGUGAAGAAGGCUUUCGGAUCGUAAAACUCUGUUGUUAGAGAAGAAUAAGGACGUUAGUAACUGAACGUCCCCUGACGGUAUCUAACCAGAAAGCCACGGCUAACUACGUGCCAGCAGCCGCGGUAAUACGUAGGUGGCAAGCGUUGUCCGGAUUUAUUGGGCGUAAAGCGAGCGCAGGCGGUUUCUUAAGUCUGAUGUGAAAGCCCCCGGCUCAACCGGGGAGGGUCAUUGGAAACUGGGAGACUUGAGUGCAGAAGAGGAGAGUGGAAUUCCAUGUAUGGCGGUGAAAUGCGUAGAUAUAUGGAGGAACACCAGUGGCGAAGGCGGCUCUCUGGUCUGUAACUGACGCUGAGGCUCGAAAGCGUGGGGAGCAAACAGG
rnacentral:rRNA from 1 species